AUCGAAGAUUUUUUAACGCGCACAACAGCCAGGAAAUUCCAUCCCUUCGAUAUCCUCCCCUUCUUUUUAUUUCUCUGGCCGAGUCACGAAGUCCUGGUUGGAAAUAUUAAAUAUAUUAAUGUUAAAACUUCAUAAUAAUAUGAUGAAGUCGUUUAAAAAUUUUGUCAUACGAAGGGCGAAAAUCUCAAAAAUUUGGAAAUUUGAAGAUAUUUGUUUGGGACAAUGUCAACGUUAAAAAUGGUACUUGGAGGCGUACCGUAGAAUCGUAAAAUUAAAUGUCUGCAAAAUCAUGGGGGCCGCUACAACUUGUAAAUGUAGUCGAGUCUGUAACCAAAAUGGAAUCCUUAAUUAUAUUUAACUGUAAAAUAGAAUAUAAAUUUUGCAAAAAAAAUAAUUGGCUUACAACUCUAACGCUCUAAUAUUUGUUAGGUUACUUACAUUUAAGGCAUUUAUGGUGAAAGGCGACAAUCCUGGUGCGCCUGAAUAGAAAUACGGAAAGUAACCUAACUACUUACAUCUAGGAUAAAUAAGUAGUUAGCUUACGUGUAGUGGAACAUGGAAUUAAAUCAGAUUAUUUAAAUUUGUUAACCACCACCGUCACAAGCUGGAGGGUCUCUGUCCGAACUUGUCUGUAACUUGGUUGUUACUUGGCUUGAACAUAAUCCCCAUAAUUACAAAUGUAGUGUAUUUAUGGCCUAGGUUCAAUUCCAUGCAUGAAGAGAAAGACUGGAACACUAUUUCCAUGCUUUGUAGACGUAGUUUUACAGAUUUUUUUGUGGCUAAUAAAUAUUCCGACUUGAA